GACGUAGGGCGCAAGCGUUGUCCGGAUCUAUUGGGCGUAAAGAGCUCGUAGGCGGCUUGUCGCGUCGACUGUGAAAAACCACGACUCAACCGUGGGACUGCAGUCGAUACGGGCAGGCUAGAGUUCGGUAGGGGAGACUGGAAUUCCUGGUGUAGCGGUGAAAUGCGCAGAUAUCAGGAGGAACACCGGUGGCGAAGGCGGCCCCCUGGGCCGGCCCUGACACUGAGACGCGAAGGCGUGGGGAGCGAACGGG
rnacentral:rRNA from 1 species